ACUCGGUCUCUCUUUCCCUUCCCUCAACACCGAACACCUUCUUCCUUCAUCUAGCGCUACGCCUCGGUGAUCCGGCGACAUGCAAUCACGUCAUCACCUUCCUCUCUCCAUCAUAUACUCAACCAUCUCAGAAAAGCCUGCACGUGAUUUCAUUCUCUAGCAAAUCGGAGAAGGCGGUAGUGAGAUGUCUUCAAUGAUUUUCUGGCAAAUCUGGCAACUCUGGCAAGCUUCUUUGGUCACUCUCUGAUCACUUUUCUGGGUUUGGCCACUGUGACGCCGUCGUCCUCCUAGCAUCGAUUUGGACCUCCGACGAGCAUCUCAGUCCAAGCUAGUCCUCCUAAACUCGUAUUUUUGAGCCCAACUCUCUUCCUCUUGUUUUGGCUUAUUUCUCCUACGAAUUCCUGUGAUUUGAGUUCAACUUCUUUCUUUCUCUUUUUCUGUUUUGUCCCGUCGUGAAACCACCAUCUUGGCAACCUUCAUGGUUCCUGGUUUGGACAAGUUUUGGAGCUGUAAUAAAAUGGGAAAGAGCAGCAGCUUGGUUUGGAAUCGGAAGAGGAGCAUCAGCCUCGGCUCUGCAUUUUUGACUUGUGGAGAAUUGAUGCUACGAGAUCGAGCAGUGGAGCAACAACAACAGCUACUUCUAUUGAUUUGGAUAACGGCUGGGAUUCUGCAUGUCAUUCCAGGUUGAGAAUAUAUUCGUCAUUGGCCACAGUAGUGCGGGAAUUGAGAACCUGAUGACAAUGCAAGAUAAUAGUGAUUCAAGUAGCUUUACUCAUAGAUGGGUUGUUAAUGCUAAAGCCGCUAAAUUAAGAACAAAAGCUGAUACGCUACACCUUAGCAUUGAUCAGCAAUGCAGAUACUGCCAGUGAUGAAACAAGUACUGUUAAAGACUUGGAGAUAGAAGAAGCUCUAGAAGGAAGAUGUUUUGAAGAAGAGAAAGAGUAGAAAAAUAUAAUAAUAAAACAAUACCCAUAUACCCAAGGGCAUUUGAGGAAGUUAAAAAAUAUUUGACGACCAAUUUAGACGGAGAGAGACGGAAUGGACCAAUUGGUCGAAAAUUAAAAUUAGAAUGAGUGAUCGGUUGAAAUUGAAAAUAUGAAGAGUAAACUAUCGAGACCCUAAAAAUAUAGGGAGUGACCAGUAUUUUGUCAUUUUUUUAAUUACCAAUGUCGAAAUAGAUCUUUUUAUGAUCUCCCCUAUUUAUUAACACGUUUUUUAGCAUUUAUUCGCUUUCUUAAGUUAGUUUGUAUGUGAGGUGGCAUGUCACCUCUUGUAUUUGAUCAUUGUGGUCGUGCAUGGCUUAAUGUCAAAUGAAGUUAAUUUAUUCCCCUAAAAAAAGUAAAAAAGGAAAGAUCUGACAACAGAAAUUGAGUUUUGAUAGAUCUAACAACAAAGGUCCUUUGGAAUUUAAUUGAAGUAACAUAAUAUUGGUUUAACCACAGGCAAAUAAUCUGAGCCAUCGUAAUU